CAUUCCACACACCAUCCACCACAUCCCGAGCCCCGAUCCCAUUUCUUCCAGCGCGCCGCCACCCCCAACCCCGCCGUCGUGCGCCGUCACCCCCAACCCCGCCGCCGUGCGCAGUCGCCCCCGCCCGACCGCCGCGCGCCGCCGCCCUCGCCCGACCGCCACGCGCCGCCGCCCUCGCCCGGUCGCCACGCGCCGCCAUCCUCAUCCCCACCACCGGGUGUCGCCGCCCCCAGCCGGACGCGACCGCCGCGCCCUUGCUUCCAUCCGCCGCCGCCCCAUGCUUCCAGCGCUCGCCCCUCCACCCCCACUGGCCCUCUUCCCCAGCGCGCCACCAGGCCCUCCCCCACCGCCAUCUUCCACGCGCCGCCGUCGCUAGUCCCCUGCCCAGCGCGCUGGGGGCCCUUCGCGUCCCAUCUCCGGCAAUGAGCCGCCCCUGCUGGACCCCGAGCGCGGCCGCCCCUCCGACUAUGCUGAGUUCGUCAGUCCGUCAGUUCGCCGGUAGGAACCGCAGGUUAGGACCCCAUCUUCCACCUCACCUACUCUCUACUGCAAGAGCAGCACAAGGAGGAGCCAUGCACUUUUUUCUGUAGAAUUUUGUAUAAUCUAGUUCAUAUUUGGUCUACUUGUGUAAUUCCGUCAGUUCAUGACAAGUAUGUACUAAUGAUAGAAAUAUAGGUCAUUUGUGAAUCAUGCUUGUUUCAGCGGGGAACAGAUCCACGGCCAACGGACAAAUUGUAAGCACAUAGCAGUUCAAAAAAGAAUUUGAUGUGCAAUAAUGUACAUGAUUCGCCCCCCUGCGGUUUGGAUUGUGGUGAUUGUUUAGUUCCACAACAUGCUCACGUAGCAGAUUUUUCCUGUAUUUGUUUGCAGAGAAAAGGAGAAAACUAGACUAAUGUUCAAGGCUCCCUACUGGAUGUCGGCGCCGGAGGGUAACGGACAUCGUUGUCUCCCCACGCCCAUAGACUUCUCUUCUCUCCUGCAAUGCAAGCUGUGAGGGAGCAUUACUUGCAUCUGAAUUGGCUGAUUGCAUUGUUAAACUCUGGGAUGUUGCGUCUAGCACAAAGGCCUUGAAGAUGGAUGACACGGACGUGUGGAGCGAGCACUUUGGCAACGGAAAAAUGAAAACAAAAUGCAGGUGUUCGUCGCAUGUGUCUGUUCAACGAGGGCUUCGGUGACGGUCCGCUGCUGGUGGCCGCCUCACCAUGGUUAAGUUUGGCGUAGUCGCAUGUGUUGCUUGCUGUUGUGGCCGUCUCCAGGCCUGGGGAUGUUUUUUCAUUUGACAUACUUCAAGUAUUUUGUGGGGUACGUCCAACGACAACGAGCAGGUAGCAAGUGUAUUGAUGAGCAGCGGGACGGUGGCAUGGAGCAGUUGAGUAGGUGUGCGUAGUUCAAGUUCACCAGUAUUUGUAAAUGCUGGUAGCAGUACUAGUAUUUACAAAUUUGUAACCUAAGAACUAAGCUUGAUCUCGUUACUUCUAUGGAAGCACUGACCUCGUAAUUUUAUUGGACCAACCACUAACUUGAGAAUUAGACAUGGUGCUCAGUGUAUUCUCUCAAUCUUGGUUGUUCUUGCAGUGCUUAUAAGCUUGACAUCUUUGAUGAAUCCAGCCCGAACUGAAGCCUGUCGGUGAGCCGGGCGCUGGGCCAACCACUGUCGUCUGUCUACCUCCUUCCCCGGUGAGCCCAUGCUCUUCUGCUCUUGACGCUUUGAGCCGCCUGCAAUUCUUUUCUCUGUUCGAAAAUUCCCAAAGCAUCAGUACUUUGUAUCAGGAUACACCAUGUUAUUUCUGCAAAUUUCCAUUAUGCUUGUAUGUCCAAAAUGUGUGCAUUUACUACUUUUGAUUUGUUGUAGUGCAGAUAAGUUACCCUGUUGCGGGUUGACCUGGAGGCGGCUCCUCCAUGUCGACACAAUUGCAGGACCAACGUGCUAUUGACCACGCAAGCUUCCUCAAGGAGCUUGUGCCCAACGAUACUAAAAGGAAAAAUUGCUCCAGUAUUGAACUACUUAUUCAGUCAUGCUAUUACUGAGUGAAAAUGGAGUGAAAGUGUAUUGCAAUUGAUCUCUCUUAAACCCUGUCAAUCCUCUAUCUAUCCUUUCUUUGCUUGUUUUUUGGUCUGUAAUUCAAGAACUUUGACCUUUGUAAUUUGGUUUUUGGUUAAUUUGUUAUGCCCAGUACAAACCAUUAAAUCUGAAGAGGCUUCUAAUAGCAAGAAAA